CUUUGAUCCUUUAACCUCCAGGUUCCCAACUGUGUAGAGAUGGGAAAUAUGCUGUGUUUUCUCUUCUGGUAAAUUUCUUGCCUCUCACAGUUGAGCAUCUAGGACUUUUCUACCAUCCCCU
rnacentral:precursor_RNA from 15 species